rnacentral:rRNA from 1 species
CCAAUAGCGUAUAUUAAAGUUGUUGCAGUUAAAAAGCUCGUAGUUGAAUUUCGGGGUCAGUAGGUUGGUCAUGCCUCCGGUAUGUACUGGUCUCACUGAUUCCUCCUUCCUGAUGAGCCGUAAUGCCAUUAAUUUGGUGUUGCGAGGAAUCUGGACUGUUACUUUGAAAAAAUUAGAGUGUUUAAAGCAGGCUAACGCUUGAAUACAUUAGCAUGGAAUAAUGAAAUAGGACGUUCGAUCCUAUUUUGUUGGUUUCUAAGAUUGACGUAAUGAUUAAUAGGGAUAGUUGGGGGCAUUAGUAUUCAAUUGUCAGAGGUGAAAUUCUUGGAUUUAUUGAAGACUAACUACUGCGAAAGCAUUUGCCAAGGAUGUUUUCAUUAAUCAAGAACGAAAGUUAGGGGAUCGAAGACGAUCAGAUACCGUCGUAGUCUUAACCAUAAACUAUGCCGACUAGGGAUCGGAUGAUGUUAAUUUUUUAAUGACUCAUUCGGCGCCUUACG